rnacentral:SRP_RNA from 1 species
UUUCGGUCCCCUCGCGACGAUUAACCGCGAACUCCGCCAGGUCCGGAAGGAAGCAACGGUAGUGGUGACAUCGGGUGCCGGGGUGUGGCUGGGGCAG